CCUUCCGCCCUGUUAAACCAGAUGAUCCACUAUUAGACCCAUUCCUUGUACACACAUUGACCUUACGCUUUGAGCCUCGAAGACAGAGACCUGUUGAAGGGCCUGCAGGAACAAAGCAAGAUCUGAGAAGCUUUAAGCUAAUUUUGGAAUAUAUAAAAGCUUUGCCUACUGGGCAAGAAACAGACUUUGUCUUAGUCUCAUGUACAGGAUUGGGGGUGGAACCUAACAGAAGGGAGCAAGUUCUGAAAGCCAAGAGGGCUGGGGAAGACUUGUUGAGACGGUCAGGCCUUGGAUACACAAUCAUUCGUCCUGGUCCUCUAAAGGAAGAGCCUGGUGGUCAAUGCGCACUCAUAUUUGACCAAGGAAACAGGAUUUCUCAGAGCAUUAGCUGUGCCGAUGUGGCCGAUAUCUGUGUGAAGGCGUUGCACGAUUCAACGGCAAGAAACAAAAGCUUUGAUGUUUGUUAUGAAUACGUUGCUGAGCAAGGGAGGGAGCUCUAUGAGCUGGUAGCACAUCUGCCUGACAAAGCUAACAACUAUUUGACACCUGCAUUAUCUGUUUUAGAGAAAAACACUUGACUGCCGAGCACCUGCUUUUUCACCAAGAAACACCGCUGAGUUAUUAGUUUGUAAGAAAACACAACAAAAAGUGGGGAAAAAAAAUGAAACAUAUAUUUUGUUUUUGUAUUGUAAAUUUGUGAUCGUCGGCUGUGGUUGUAUAUGGCUCAAUGUGUUUUUGUAUAUUAAUGUGUGGAUAACAAGUUUUCA
rnacentral:misc_RNA from 1 species